AUUUCUCUGAGAUGUUUGCAAGCGGGCCAGUCCCCUGAGCCGAUAUUUCAUACCACAAGAAUGUGGCGCUCCACGGUUGGUGAGCAUGCUCGGUUCGUCCGAGAAGCCUUAAAACUGUGACGACACAUUCACCUUGAACCAAGGGUUCAAGGGUUACAGCCUGCGGCGGCAUCUCGGAGAUUCC
rnacentral:other from 53 species